rnacentral:sRNA from 1 species
AUCUUCGUGAAGACCCUGACUGGUAAGACCAUCACUCUCGAGGUGGAGCCGAGUGACACCAUUGAGAAUGUCAAGGCAAAGAUCCAAGACAAGGAAGGCAUCCCUCCUGACCAGCAGAGGUUGAUCUUUGCUGGGAAACAGCUGGAAGAUGGACGCACCCUGUCUGACUACAACAUCCA